GGAGAGGUACCCGAAGCGGCCCAACGGGGUACCGAGGCGACUUGGUUCGGGUUUCGGCCCGCGCAGGUUCGAAUCCUGCCCUCUCCG
rfam:Streptomyces sp. M41(2017) strain M41 M41_contig1, whole genome shotgun sequence.